AUUGAACGCUGGCGGCAGGCUUAACACAUGCAAGUCGAGCGAGAGGCGGACGGGUGAGUAAUGUCUGGGAAACUGCCUGAUGGAGGGGGAUAACUACUGGAAACGGUAGAUAAUACCGCAUACCAUCAGAUGUGCCCAGAUGGGAUUAGGUAGGUGGCGGGGUAAUGGCUUACCUAGGCGACGAUCCCUAGCUGGUAUGAGAGGAUGAACAGCAACACUGGAACUGAGACACGGUCCAGACGCCUACGGUAGGCAGCAGUAGGGAAUAUUGCGCAAUGGGCGCAAGCCUGAUGCAGCCAUGCCGCGUGUGUGAAGAAGGCCGUCGGGUUGUAAAGCACUUUCAGCGGGGAGGCGUUACUCGCAGAAGAAGCACCGGCUAACUCCGUGCCAGCAGCCGCGGUAAUUC
rnacentral:rRNA from 1 species